rnacentral:rRNA from 1 species
AUUGAACGCUGGCGGCAGGCCUAACACAUGCAAGUCGAGCGGAUGAAGGGAGCUUGCUCCUGGAUUCAGCGGCGGACGGGUGAGUAAUGCCUAGGAAUCUGCCUGGUAGUGGGGGAUAACGUCCGGAAACGGGCGCUAAUACCGCAUACGUCCUGAGGGAGAAAGUGGGGGAUCUUCGGACCUCACGCUAUCAGAUGAGCCUAGGUCGGAUUAGCUAGUUGGUGGGGUAAAGGCCUACCAAGGCGACGAUCCGUAACUGGUCUGAGAGGAUGAUCAGUCACACUGGAACUGAGACACGGUCCAGACUCCUACGGGAGGCAGCAGUGGGGAAUAUUGGACAAUGGGCGAAAGCCUGAUCCAGCCAUGCCGCGGGUGUGAAGAAGGUCUUCGGAUUGUAAAGCACUUUAAGUUGGGAGGAAGGGCAGUAAGUUAAGACCUUGCUGUUUUGACGUUACCAACAGAAUAAGCACCGGCUAACUUCGU